rnacentral:rRNA from 1 species
UACGAAGGGGGCUAGCGUUGUUCGGAAUUAUUGGGCGUAAAGGGAGCGUAGGCGGUUUUGUAAGUCGUGUGUGAAAUCUUCAGGCUCAACCUGAAGUCUGCACACGAAACUGCAGGGCUUGAGUAUGGGAGAGGUGAGUGGAAUUCCUGGUGUAGCGGUGAAAUGCGUAGAUAUCAGAAGGAACACCUGUGGCGAAAGCGGCUCACUGGACCAUUACUGACACUGAGGCACGAAAGCUAGGGGAGCAAACAGG